GUCCCUAUCGUCUAGAGGCCUAGGACAUCGCCCUUUCACGGCGGUCACCGGGGUUCGAAUCCCCGUAGGGACGCCA
rnacentral:tRNA from 1 species